UCCCCAACUAUCAAGCUGUUAUUGUCCCU
rnacentral:piRNA from 1 species